rnacentral:rRNA from 1 species
GACGAACGCUGGCGGCGCGCCUAACACAUGCAAGUCGAACGAGCGAGAGAGAGCUUGCUUUCUCGAGCGAGUGGCGAACGGGUGAGUAACGCGUGAGGAACCUGCCUCAAAGAGGGGGACAACAGUUGGAAACGACUGCUAAUACCGCAUAAGCCCACGGGUCGGCAUCGACCAGAGGGAAAAGGAGCAAUCCGCUUUGAGAUGGCCUCGCGUCCGAUUAGCUGGUUGGUGAGGUAACGGCCCACCAAGGCAACGAUCGGUAGCCGGACUGAGAGGUUGAACGGCCACAUUGGGACUGAGACACGGCCCAGACUCCUACGGGAGGCAGCAGUGGGGAAUAUUGCACAAUGGGGGAAACCCUGAUGCAGCGACGCCGCGUGGAGGAAGAAGGUCUUCGGAUUGUAAACUCCUGUUGUUGAGGAAGAUAAUGACGGUACUCAACAAGGAAG